rnacentral:rRNA from 1 species
GAUGAACGCUAGCUACAGGCUUAACACAUGCAAGUCGAGGGGCAGCAUGAACAUAGCUUGCUAUGUUUGAUGGCGACCGGCGCACGGGUGCGUAACACGUAUCCAAUCUGGCCCGUUACUCCGGGGGAAUAGCCUUCCUGAAAGGAAGAUUAAUACCCGAUGGCAUUCAUUAGCGGCAUCGCUUUUGGAUUAAAGAUUUAUCGGUAACGGAUGAGGAUGCGUACGGAUUAGCUGGUUGGCGGGGUAACGGCCCACCAAGGCGACGAUCGUUAGGGGUUCUGAGAGGAAGGUCCCCCACGACUGGAACUGAGACACGGUCCAGAC